rnacentral:rRNA from 1 species
AUGGUAGCAAAAAAUGUGUCUAGUUCCAGCAAAAAAAGACACUUGUUCGAGCAAAUAGCGAUGCCGGUUGAAACGUUGGUGUGGUGUCCUCAUACGAAGCCGUUGGUGUGGCGUCCUCAUACGAAGCCACCAGUGUUACCUUCCAGCUUUGCCUUGCCAGCUAUGGCUUGCACGCCGUGUGCGGAGGUAGCAUCUCGCCGGCGAGCACUCCAGUUCGAUCGUACUCCAGCCUUGUGUGGUAGCAGCUCGCCGGCGAGCACUCCAGUUCGUACACCGAUCAUGUGUGGUAGCAGCUCGCCGGCGAGCAUUCCAGUUCGCACUCUGGCCAUGUGUGGUAGCAGCUCGCCGGCGUCUAAUCGGGCAGGGGAACGACGGGGAUAA